CAUGUGUCUUUAUAGCAGCAUGAUUUAUAGUCCUUUGGGUAUAUACCCAGUAAUGGGAUGGCUGGAUCAAAUGGUAUUUCUAGUUCUACAUCCCUGAGGACUCGCCACACUGACUUCCACAAUGGUUGAACUAGUUUACAGUCCCACCAACGGUGUAAAAGUGUUCCUAUUUCUCCACAUCCUCUCCAGCAGCUGUUGUUUCCUGACUUUUUAAUGAUUGCCAUUCUAACUGGUGUGAGAUGGUAUCUCAUUGUGGUUUUGAUUUGCAUUUCUCUGAUGGCCACUGACGGUGAGCAUUUUUUCAUGUGUUUUUUGGCUGCAUAAAUGUCUUCUUUUGAGAAGUGUCUGUUCAAGUCCUUUGCCCACUUUUUGAUGGGGUUCUUUGUUUUUUUCUCAUAAAUUUGUUUGAGUUCAUUGUAGAUUCUGGAUAUUUGCCCUUUGUCAGAUGUGUAGGUUGUGAAAAUUUUCUCCCAUUUUGUAGGUUGCCUGGUCACUCUGAUGGUAGUUUCUUUUGCUGUGCAGAAGCUCUUUAGUUGAAUUAGAUCCCAUUUGUCAAUUUUGGCUUUUGUUGCCAUUGCUUUUGGCUGGAGAGGCAGCCAAGAUGGCCAAAUACGAACAGCUCUGGUCUACAGCUCCCAGCGUGAGCGACGCAGAAGAUGGGUGAUUUCUGCAUUUCCAUCUGAGGUACUGGGUUCAUCUCACUAGGGAGUGCCAGACAGUGGGCGCAGGACAGUGGGUGCAGCGCACCGAGCGCGAGCUGAAGCAGGGCGAGGCAUUGCCUCACUCAGGAAGUGCAAGGGGUCAGGGAGUUCCCUUUCCUAGUCAAAGAAAGGGGUGACAGACGGCACCUGGAAAAUCGGGUCACUCCCACCCUAAUACUGCGCUUUCCUGACGGGCUUAAAAAACGGCACACCAGGAGAUUAUAUCCCGCACGUGGCUCAGAGGGUCCAACACCCACAGAGUCUCGUUGACUGCUAGCACAGCAGUCUGAGAUCAAACUGCAAGGCAGCAGCAAGGCUGGGGGAGGGGCGCCUGCCAUUGCCCGGGCUUGCUUAGGUAAACAAAGCAGGCGGGAAACUCGAACCGGGUGGAGACCACCACAGCUCAAAGAGGCCUGCCUGCCUCCGUAGGCUCCACCUCUGGGGGCAGGGCACAGACAAACAAAAAGACAGCAG
rnacentral:lncRNA from 10 species